rnacentral:antisense_RNA from 1 species
AGUUCUGGGCGGCCGUGUGGGGAGCGUUCGCGCUCGCCGGUUCCUUGUUCCGGUCUUCCAACCUGCACGGUCUGCCCUCCCCG